CGGGACAAGGGGAAUGGGCCCAUGCCGUAACCCAUUAGUUAGUUGGGCGGGGGUAACGGCCCACCAAGGCAGCGAUGGUUAGGGGCCCUGAGAGGGGGAUCCCCCACACUGGUACUGAGACACGGACCAGACUCCUACGGGAGGCAGCAGUGAGGAAUAUUGGACAAUGGGCGAGAGCCUGAUCCAGCCAUGCCGCGUGCGGGAAGAAGGCCCUAUGGGUCGUAAACCGCUUUUAUACGGGAAGAAAAAAGGGUACGUGUAUCCUACUGACGGUACCGUAAGAAUAAGGACCGGCUAACUCCGUGCCAGCAGCCGCGGUAAUACGGAGGGUCCGAGCGUUAUCCGGAAUUAUUGGGUUUAAAGGGUCCGUAGGCGGGCCGUUAAGUCAGGGGUGAAAGUCUGCGGCUCAACCGUAGAACUGCCCUUGAUACUGGCGGUCUUGAGUCAUAUUGGAGUGGGCGGAAUAUGUAGUGUAGCGGUGAAAUGCAUAGAUAUUACAUAGAACACCGAUCGCGAAGGCAGCUCACUAAGUAUGUACUGACGCUGAUGGACGAAAGCGUGGGGAGCGAACGGGAUUAGAUACCCCGGUAGUCCACGCCGUAAACGAUGGAUACUAGCUGUCCGGUACCUUGAGUACUGGGCGGCCAAGCGAAAGUGAUAAGUAUCCCACCUGGGGAGUACGUUCGCAAGAAUGAAACUCAAAGGAAUUGACGGGGGCCCGCACAAACGGUGGAGCAUGUGGUUUAAUUCGAUGCAACGCG
rnacentral:rRNA from 1 species